rnacentral:lncRNA from 1 species
UUACAGCUGAUCUUUUAUCUGCUUACGUUUCAUUAGCCGUCAAAUUUAAGAUAAGCAAUUAAUAAUAAUGGUUCUUAAAGUCAAUUUGGUCUGUCAAAUCCAUGAAGCAGCCGGUAUUUAAUUGUAUACUUUGAAUUUCAACCUGAGAUACAAAAGACGUAAGCAAAAGUUCCAUUGAAGUGGACAAAUUUUAUUUCAAACAAUUACAGCAGUAUCAAGGAAUAUCCUUGCAUGAAGCCAUCAACUUGUUUUCUUCUUGAAUAAGGUAGUAAACCAAACUUUAAUACUAGUGGAAUAUACGUAGGAUAUUUUUUCCUUGGGACAGAACUUUCUUCAGAGCAAACUAUAUAGGUGACAAGCUUAUCAAUUAAAUAAAGCAGAAGAAUCAACAAUUUUCCCGCCUGAUAACUAUUAAUUAGUCAAGAGAAAUAAAGAACUACUUGGGCGGUCAUUAACUAUUGAAAACUACGAAGCUUGAGUAAGUCAAAAGAAGUUUAAAAAAUGAUGGAAACACAUAAAAGUGGGCCAUUUUAUGCAAGAAAAGUUAACGAACAUGUUACAAGGUCACAUCUGAGCAUGUGUACACGUCCCAAUUCAAUAUAUUACUAUAUUCCUUUCGUGAUUAUAAUAUAGUUAUGUGGUGACGAACAAAAAUUAUGCAACUAGCUAGACAUCGUUCACAUGACAAUAUAAUUAUGACACAGUAUGCCCUUAACAUUAGGAUAUGACUUUUUAUUUGGUGGUCCUCAAAAUUGCAUGUGAUUAAACAAUAUCAGAAUUGGUCAAGCUACACGUUAAAAAAUAUACUUCCUUUUGUUCCAGUUUAAACAUAUUUCUUUUUUGGUCUGUUUCAAAAAAUAACUGUUAUCUAAAUUUUGAAAAUAAUUUAAUUUAGACUUACAAUUCUACCCUUAAUGAGAAACUUUUAUUACCACACAAAUACUCUAGGUCCCUUUUUGAUUUAAUUUAGGAUCACAAAUUCCAAAAUUUUUUAUUUUUUCUCAAAUUCCAUGCCCAGUCAAACAUGUUCACAUAAAAUGAAACAGAGGGCGGGAGUACUCCACAGAGAUCUGGUCCAACCUCACUGUGCGAUUAGUUUUAGAAAAAGAAAAUAUUUUUCAAACAUAUAUAUAGAGACUUUAAUUCUAAAUCAUUGAGUUUUUACCUAUGAUCUAUGGAUCGACCGGGGGGGACCUCGAGCUGUAUCUAAUCAAGAUCAGUAGUGUAGGAAUAAAAUUCUUUCAACUAUAGAAAGGAAAUGUGGACCACUUAAUAAAGUCAAGAUUCACACCCUUUAUACUGGCCAAAUGCACUAAGAUACAGAGUAACUAUAGCCAGAACAUGACAAACUUCAACAAUAAUCCAAUAUAAUUUUACGGGUAAAAUUUGGAGUGAGUAGGCAUACCGUACCCCUAUCUGGAGAGAUAUAAAGACUACUUCCAAUAGAAUUUCGAUUCAAGACAAAGUGAAAAGAACAUGGCAAACUUCCCAUCAAGAAAUUUCAACAGUAAAUGUCCAUAAAUUACCAAAAAUAGGUUGUCCAAAAUACACCACUCUAGGUAAUAUAGAUCAGCAGAAAUCUCAAAUCCGACUAUCAAUACUAUUCUUUUCGGUCCACUUCAAUUAAUGUUGCUUUCACAUAUAUUAAAAAUUUUACCUUUUAACACUAAUUAACAAUAAAAAUAAUUAUAUUAACAUUAAUUUGUUUAUUGAAAAUAUAACAAAUACUCCUGAUCUUUAUUCCAAGGAAAACUUUGGUAAAAAUAAUUAAUUCCUUCUUAAUACUCUAAGAAAAUCAAAUAUUAUGAACUACAAGGAAAAUGCCAAAAAAUCAAUUAAAGUGAACCACAAAAAAUAUAAAAAAAUAAACAUUAAAAAUUACAUAUUUGGCUAGAUCUUGUUCCAUCCACAUUUCAGUCCCAAUCGGAGCAUCAAUACAUUAAAUCAUAGCAUAAAACAAGAACGCUUGUAAAUUUUUAGAUUUGAAUAUAAGUGGCACUCAGUACCAUAGAUCCAUAGCUACUGUAUACAAAAUGCACAUCAAAAUUUCUUCCUUAAACUGUUCCAAUUCUCUCCCUAUGUAAAUAGAUCACCAUAAACAGAAAAUGAAGGAAAAAAAAGAUAGAGAGAGAAAAAGGAAAGUACCUGACACAGCUUAACUCUUUCUUCCUUAAAUUGUUCCAAUUCUCUCCCUAUGUAAAUGUUAUUUGUUGAGAGGCUCCAAUGGAUUGGAGCUUUCUCUGAUGAAUUUUAGAGGAAUGAGAAGAAGGGGAAGGUAAUGGGUAUUUAAGCUUUUUAGUUUCCCUCCUCCGUAUUGAAUGGCCUACGCAACGGUGGAGCAA